AAGCUGUUUACUUUAUGUUUUUAUUUGACAACAUGCUAAUUUCCCUUUAUCCCACCACAAACAAGAAUGGAAUGUUUGAGUGUCUAGAGUGCCGUACAAGUCACCAUAUUCCGAGUAUAGAGACCGAAGAUUGGGCAGAUUGGUUCCCUGUCGACGCCUUCUGUGUCAUACAGUUACAGACCCUAGCCAGGUUCCAGGACUCACAAGUUUGCGAGGUACAUGAAGAUAAAUUCAAGGAGUAUUAAUAGCUUUCAUCACCGCGACUUAUUCUGCCCCGACUGUAUCAUAGCAAAGCACACAGUAGCCCCAUGUUGCGCUAGAAGCAACCGUGAUGCCACUACUGAAGUCAAAAAACAUAUAAACGACUUACUUGGUCAGCUUAGAUUACAGGAAGAACACGCUAUAAGAAUUGGCAACUCAAAUGUUGCGGCCGCUCAUACCAAUGAUUUACUGCAGAAGGUAUGGGAAGCCGACCAUCUGGUAGACAGAUUUCACAAACAAAUGAAGAAAAAGAUACAAGACACAAGAGUGCAGAUCGAGAAUGCAACAAAAAAUCAAACCUCCAGAUAAAGAUCAUUUAAAAACCACUCAAUCCCUUAUUUCGCAGACCAAAAAGUUGGUGGAUGAUAAAUUGAAGGCAGUCAAUGUUAAAACGCAGGAAGGUCAGCACGAUUUGUUACGUCUUUGGAAACCAUUACAAGAUCAAGUUGACCAUUUUCAAACUGUCCUCACUGCAGUCGAAAAGCGGCCAUUUUGUGUGAAUGUUCAAACUGAUGAUCAGUUCAUAGAGCUGGUGAAUUUAAAUCUUGAUCCAAUUGUGGUCGUCAAUGAGAGCGCUCAAUGGACUCCGCUCAAUCCUACAACGGUCCGAAGAGUCCCAAGUGGGAGUUCAUUUAAUUCUAGACGAUUUCAUAGUAUGAGGGAGAAGGAGAAAAGUGUAAAGCUUAAUGAUAAGUACAGUGCCCAUGUAUCUCUACGUUCAAAUGAUAUAAGCACAAGUUUUCCUAGAUCAAGAGCAAGUUACCGCACCGUCUCUAUACACAAUCAAGCCAUCGAAUCGGCAGUGACUCCUCGACAAUCAAGCCAAUAUCCAAUUCCUGUGAAAUAGAAAAUACAAGAGAGAAACCCAACAAUUUUACCUAAGUUGACGGCGGGAAGUCUUACUGCUGGCCAAACGUCGAAGAUAUUCAACAUCAGGUCACUAAGUCUUAAGGGAAUCAGUCAACAGUCCAUAUUUGAGUUUCCAUGCGAAGAUAUCGUCGUAUUAGCUAACAAUAUAAUAACUUUAACUGAAAGAGCUGUUCGGAAGUUUUCCCUCAGGUAUCAGUUCUUGCAGAGUAUGGCAUUGCGCGCGCCUAUAAAGUUGUGUUAUACACGUGACGAAUCUAACAACAUACUCGUGCUCGACAACAGUUGUGGUGUAUCGUUGAUUUCUACACAUCCACGUCUUCAGCUCCUUUACAGAAUUGAGACGGAUCGAGCGUAUACAGGAAUGUGUCACAUGAGAACAACAAUGACCGAGUAC